CGUGGGGAGAAGAAGAGAGGAAGAAGAGGGAGAAGAGAAGAAGAAGAAGAAGAAGAAGAGAGGAGGAUAGCUGCGGCAAGGCUGCAGCGAGGAGGUGUGUGGCGUUGGGGAGGAAAAGGGAAGAGGAGAAGAAGAGAAGGAGAAGAAGAGGGAAAAGAGAGGGAAGAGGGAGAGGAGCAAGAGGUGGAAGCAGCUAGGGCUGCAGCACCUUUGUUUCCUGCAAGUCGAAACAGAGGAGAGGUGUGGGGCGAUCGAAGAGGAGAAGAAGAAGAAGAGGAAGCAGGAGAAGAGGUUGUGAUGCCUCUGUUCCUGCAGAGGAAACAGAGGAGAGGGUGUGUGUGACGCCGGGGAGGAGGAGGGAAGAAGAAGAGGAGAAGAAGAAGAGAAGGGAAAGGAGGAGCUGUGGUUGCGGCGGUGGCAACUGCAGCUGGAAGAGAAGGAGAGGAAGAGAUGGCGAGGAAGAAGAGAAGAAGAAGAAAGGAAGGAGAAGGAAGAGGAUAAGGGAAAGAAGUAGCUGCGGCUGCGGCUGUGGCAGCUGCAGCUAUGGCAGGGAAANNNNNNNNNNNNNNNNNNNNAAGAAGAGGCUGCAGCCGUGGCUAAGGCUGCGACUGCAGCAGUGCAGCUGGGAAAGAAGAGAAGGAAAGGAAGAAGAAGAGAAAGGAAAAGGGAAGAAGAGAGGAAGAGGAGAAGGGGAGGCAGCUGCGGCAGUGGUAGCUGCAGCUGGAAGAGAAGGAGAGGAAACAUAGCACAGGGGAGGAAGAAGAGGCUGCGGCUAUGGUGGUUGCGGCCGUGGCUG
rnacentral:lncRNA from 1 species